rnacentral:lncRNA from 1 species
UGAGGGUAUGUUUUAACAAGGCUGUUUUCCACGUGUUUGCUCCUUUGUCCACUUGCACUGGGGACUAAAUACUCUUCCAGGUGAGUACUGCAGAGCUGUGCACGGGAGCACAAAUAUAAGGCCAUGAGAAGGCAGUGUGCUGACAGUAUCUGUUUUCCAGCUGUUUGUCCUGCAGGCCCUGAAACUGAAAGGACUUUCGUUCUGAUGCAUCCCGACCAUUAUCUUUUGUAAUUAAAAAAUGGAACUACAGCCUGUUUUCAUCACACACGAGGUAUCACCAAUGCAGGACGGGGCAGACCUGCUGAAGGUCAUACUGCUGUGCUGAUGAUGUGUACAGAGCCAACGAGGACCUGGAAGCAAGCACCUGAAAAGAUGCUGGCAUUGUUUGAAACUGGCAAGAUCUGCACAACACUUUUGCAGUCAGGUCUUCCCUGUGGAUCCUGCAGAGCUGCCUUAUGCUGGGGCUCAGACAAGUGACAAUAAAGAUGCCACCCAGGAGGUUUAUCAUGUGAUGUGAAAGCAGCAGGAUAAGGUACAGAGGCACUUCCUUCGCUGUCCUUACCUCUUAUAACAAGAUGUUUUUUAUCUUCUAUAGUGUAGAAAUGGUUUGUGUGUGUUAGAGGAGAGCUGCUGCUGCUGCUCAGUGGGUUUCCAAGACCCCAUCUCAUUUCCAGUUCCUGCUGAGCUUGGAGAGCUGCUUCCUACUGCAGCUUUCUUGUUCUUCCAUGCCAAAGGCUGCUGGUCCCUAAAUUAAAGGAUUAGCUUCUGUUUUUGGAAGGGAACGUGUUCUUCCCAGUAUUCCCACAUCGAUAUCCUUGUUGUUGUUCUGCUCCUGCUUCACUAAGUAGAAAGGAAGGUCACCUUACUGCUAGAACAGAUUGUCCUGGGAGGAAUGGAGAGAGACAAAUGUGCAUAGUCAUCUUUUGAAGUGGAGAAUGGAUUAGAACAGGUCUGCAAGCCUGAUCUAACCAGCAAGGUGUUUCAUCCAGCAUGAUGCCUCAUCCUGGAGAGUACAAGCAGCAUCUUGGGAGAGUAUGUAUUACUUCUCACCUUUGGCAGACUGAACUCUGGGUGAGUUCAUGCUUGAUUUCCUGCUUCAGGGGUGGGCUUGUUGAUAUUACAUGCAGUCUCACCAUACCCCACUAGAGGGAUGACUGAAAGAACAUCAGUCGGUAUGUUUGAAAGCAGGAGCAGGACUUGCAAAAUAAAAGCCCUGCUGUAUGGCACAUCCCUUAUCAGCAAAGGGUGGGAAAUGAGAGG